GUCUACAGCUGUGCCACUCUGAACACGUUUGAUCUCCUCUGAUCUUUGAAUCUAAGCAGGGUUGGGCCUGGUUAGUAAUAGGAUGGGAGACCACCUAGGAAGACCGGGUGCUGUAGGAA
rnacentral:rRNA from 1 species